GAUGAACGCUGGCGGCGUGCCUAAUACAUGCAAGUCGAGCGAACAGACGAGGAGCUUGCUCCUCUGACGUUAGCGGCGGACGGGUGAGUAACACGUGGAUAACCUACCUAUAAGACUGGGAUAACUUCGGGAAACCGGAGCUAAUACCGGAUAACAUGUUGAACCGCAUGGUUCAACAGUGAAAGACGGUCUUGCUGUCACUUAUAGAUGGAUCCGCGCCGCAUUGGCUAGUUGGUAAGGUAACGGCUUACCAAGGCAACGAUGCGUAGCCGACCUGAGAGGGUGAUCGGCCACACUGGAACUGAGACACGGUCCAGACUCCUACGGGAGGCAGCAGUAGGGAAUCUUCCGCAAUGGGCGAAAUCCUGACGGAGCAACGCCGCGUGAGUGAAGAAGGUCUUCGGAUCGUAAAACUCUGUUAUUAGGGAAGAACAAAUGUGUAAGUAACUAUGCACGUCUUGACGGUACCUAAUCAGAAAGCCACGGCUAACUACGUG
rnacentral:rRNA from 1 species